rnacentral:rRNA from 1 species
GCUCUUAGUCAUACCACCCUGAACGCACCUGAUCUCGGAAGCUAAGCAGGGUUGGUCUGGUUUGUACUUGGAUGGAAGAAAUAGGCUCUUAAAGAA